GUCCAGGCUGGUCUUGAACUCCUAACCUUGUGAUCCACCCUCCUCGGCCUCCCAAAGUGCUGGGAUUACAGGCGUGAGCCACUGUGCCCAACCAACUUCACUAGUUUAUUAUUAUUAAAGCCUAUUUGUGGUAAGGAGUGUCAAAGUUUGUUUACACUUAGUAGUUACUGAUCAACUAUUACACAACAUGUUUGGGCAUACAGUAGUUGAUCAAUAAAUAUCAGUAAGCCAGAGGGUUCCAGAUCUCCAGCCUUAGCUGACUUCCUCUUAAAACACUGGGUUUUAUCCUCAUCAUCAAAAGUAUUUCAAGCACUUUAUUUCUGGAACAUGUGGAAUCUUUCCUUUUAAAGUAUUUUGUAGCCAGUUUCAAAAUGAUGCUGAUAUUUUGGAAGAAUAUUAAUGUGUCCAUCAUAAACAGAGAACAGUUGAGGCUAGGUAGGGGAAAUUUGAAGUCCCACUUCCUUGUCUGGCUUGAUGGCUGGUCUUCCUAGCAUGUGAGUUAUUUAGACGGAUAUGGAAGGAUGGAAAGCCAGAGGCGCCCUAUGUUGACGAUUUCUCUCCAAGUGCUCUUGUUGCGCAGCACAGAGGAACUCUCGAUUGACUGGACGCAUGCUCCCACCUUGUGGUGGCUUUGGACAAGUCAUGCCCUUUCAUGGACUUGGGGCUGUACCUCUGGAUGGCCUGGGAUUUGGACUGGAUCAUCCAGAGUUGAAGAUGAGAGCUGGUGAGCUCUACUCCCCUUCUCCAGGUGAAGAAUCUAUUCAUUCAUUCAGUCAUUUGACAUUCAACAAAUAUGUAUUCAACACUGACUUUCUGCCAACUUCUAGGCACUAGGUUACCACAGGGAACAAACCUAGAAGUAAUCCUUCCCCCUUUAGAGCUGAUGUUCCAGGAGACCCAUGUGCACGGCGUGACAUCAUUAAGCAUUCUGAGAUUAGAUGGAUGGAUGUGUGGAUGGAUGAACAGAUGAAUGGAUGAAUGGAUGGAUGGCUGAAUGGAUGGAUAGAUGGGUGGAUGGAUAGAUGGAUAGAUGGGUGGAUGGAUGGAUAGAUGGGUGGAUGGAUGGAUGGAUAGAUGGGUGGAUGGAUGGAUAGAUGGACAGAUGAAUGGAUGGACGGAUAGAUGGACAGAUGAAUGGAUGGAUGGAUGGAUGGUUGGAUGGAUGAAUGGAUGGAUGGAUGGAUAGAUGGGUGGAUGGAUGGAUAGAUGGACAGACAGAUGAAUGAAUGGAUGGAUGGAGGAAUGGAUAGAUAGGUGGGUGGAUGCAUAGAUGGAUAGACAGAUGAAAGAUGGAUGGAUGAAUGGAUGGAUGAUAGAUAGAUGGAUGGACCGAUGAAUAAAUGGAUGAAGGAAUGGAUAGAUAGCUAGGUGGAUGGAUGCGUAGAUGGAUAGACAUAUAAAUGAAUGGAUGGAUGGCAGAUGGAUGGAUGGAUGGCAGAUGGAUGGGUGGAUGGUAGAUGGAUGGAUGGAUGGAUGGAUAGAUGGACAGAGAAAUGAGUGAAUGAAUGGAUCAAUGGAUGGAUGGAUAGACAGAUAGAUGGAUAGACAGAUGAAUGAAUGGAUGGAGGAAUGGAUAGAUGGUGGAUGGAUGCUUAGAUGGAUAGGCAGAUGAAUGGAUUGAUGGGUGGACAGAUGGAUGGAUGGAUAGAUGGAAAGAUAUGAGUGAAUGGAUGAAUGAGUAGAUGGAUGCUAGAUGGAUAGAUGGAUGGACAGAAGAAUGGAUGGAUUGGUGGAUAGAUGGACGGGUGGCUAGAUGGACAGACAGAUGAGUGAAUGGAAGAAUGGAUGGAUGGUAGAUGGAUAGAUGGAUGGACAGAUGAAUGAAUGGAUGGAUGGAUGUGUAGAUAGGUGGAUAGAUGGACAGACAGAUGAACCAAUGGAUGGAUGGCUGGAUGACCAGAGGAAGAAGCCUGCGCCCCAGCUCCCCUCCCUGCAGCUGCAUUUCCAUCUCAGGACAGAGCUGACUGGUUGGGUCUCCCAGAUAGAAAGUGAUGGGUCUUCUGGAUAGAAAGGCAGUGGCCUGGCUGAGGCAGGGCUGGGGAUGAUAGUAGUUGGGCUCUGGGGAGACUUUGGUGAUAGAUGGGCUCGAUGUCAGGGAAGGUGGCCUGGGAGGAGGUGGUAGGGGAUGGGCUGAGUGUUAUGGGCACAGGGGACAGAGUUCAACCAUGUGAGCCUGACUCUCUUCUGCCUCCAUCCAGGUGGGAGACUCUCUUUGGGUUUGAAAAGUCCCAGUCUGAAAUGUGCUGUUUCCCCUGUGCCCUGCCAGGGCCCAGUGUGUUGCGUUCUGG
rnacentral:lncRNA from 1 species